rnacentral:rRNA from 1 species
GGACGAACGCUGGCGGCGCGCCUAACACAUGCAAGUCGAGCGAGAAAGUCCCCUUCGGGGGGCGAGUAAAGCGGCGCACGGGUGAGUAACGCGUGGGUAACCUGCCCUAGAGUGGGGGAUAACCAGCCGAAAGGCUGACUAAUCCCGCAUACGACCGGCAGACACAAGUCUGCUGGGGAAAGAUGGCCUCUGCUUGCAAGCUAUCGCUCUUGGAUGGGCCUGCGUUGGAUUAGCUAGUUGGUGAGGUAAUGGCUCACCAAGGCUGCGAUCCAUAGCUGGUUUGAGAGGACGACCAGCCACACUGGAACUGAGACACGGUCCAGACUCCUACGGGAGGCAGCAGUGAGGAAUAUUGCGCAAUGGGGGCAACCCUGACGCAGCAACGCCGCGUGAGUGAGGAAGGUUUUCGGACCGUAAAGCUCUGUCGAGCGGGAAGAAAUGCAUGGUGGCUAAUAUCCAUCAUGCUUGACGGUACCGCUAAAGGAAGCACCGGCUAACUCCGUGCCAGCAGCCGCGGUAAUACGGGGGGUGCGAGCGUUGUUCGGAAUUAUUGGGCGUAAAGAGCGUGUAGGCGGCCGAAUAAGUCAGAUGUGAAAUCCCUGGGCUUAACCCAGGACGUGCAUUUGAAACUAUUCGGCUGGAGUAGGGGAGAGGAAAGUGGAAUUCCUGGUGUAGAGGUGAAAUUCGUAGAUAUCAGGAGGAACACCGGUGGCGAAGGCGGGUAACUGGACUGCAACUGACGCUGAGGCGCGAAAGUGUGGGGAGCAAACAGGAUUAGAUACCCUGGUAGUCCACACCGUAAACGAUGAAUGCUAGGCGUAGGGGGUAUCGACCCCUUCUGUGCCGGAGUUAACGCAAUAAGUAUCCCGCCUGGGGAGUACGGUCGCAAGGCUG